GCUUUUGCUUAGGCAGAGCAUAUACUAAAUUUGGAAUGAUAGAGAGAAGAUGAGCAUGGCUCCUGAGAAAGGAUGACACCCAAAUUAGUGAAGAUACAGAUAGUUAU
ensembl:snRNA U6 U6 spliceosomal RNA